rnacentral:rRNA from 1 species
CCUACGGGUGGCAGCAGUGGGGAAUAUUGGACAAUGGGCGAAAGCCUGAUCCAGCCAUGCCGCGUGUGUGAAGAAGGCCUUCGGGUUGUAAAGCACUUUCAGUGGGGAAGAAAGCCUUGGGGCUAAUACCCUCGAGGAAGGACAUCACCCACAGAAGAAGCACCGGCUAACUCCGUGCCAGCAGCCGCGGUAAUACGGAGGGUGCGAGCGUUAAUCGGAAUUACUGGGCGUAAAGCGCGCGUAGGCGGUCUGAUAAGCCGGUUGUGAAAGCCCCGGGCUCAACCUGGGAACGGCAUCCGGAACUGUCAGGCUAGAGUGCAGGAGAGGAAAGUAGAAUUCCCGGUGUAGCGGUGAAAUGCGUAGAGAUCGGGAGGAAUACCAGUGGCGAAGGCGGCCUUCUGGACUGACACUGACGCUGAGGUGCGAAAGCGUGGGUAGCAAACAGGAUUAGAUACCCUGGUAGUC